UAGGAUGCAUGUCAAAUGUAGCUGAGUGCUUAGUAAAAAUGUUGAUAUACAACAUGUAGGUGUCACCAUGAUUCCUAGCAUAUAGAUGGGUGCAAAUACGAAACUAAGACACGUGGUCAGUUGCUGAAGAAAUUCCGGUGAAAACAUGCAGGGUCUAGCAAAAGGUCUGUAGCUGUGAGGGAAGGUGGAUGGCCCCAUAUGAGAGGUGUCACCAUGAUUCCUAGCAUAUAGAUGGGUGCAAAUACGAAACUAAGACACGUGGUCACUUGCUGAAGAAAUUCCGGUGAAAACAUGCAGGGUCUAGCAAAAGGUCUGUAGCUGUGAGGGAAGGUGGAUGGCCCCAUAUGAGAGGUAGAUUUUUGAGAAGGGCAGAUAGGGUUCUUGAUUGUGCACAGUGUCUAAAUCCCCAUGUUUGGUACUGUGAUGGUGUGGGGGUGGUGCGGAUUAGCCCAAAUGAGGGAAAAGCAAAGCAAAAAAGGGGAACCUGCUCAGAGCAUGUUUUGUGCACCAGCACCAGUAUUUAUAGAUUGCAUGUAAUUUAGGGUCGUAAUUUAUUAACUACACUAAUAUGAAAUACAAGUAUUGACAUAAAAGGGAAAUAUGAAUUUUCAUUAGUCUGUCAUAAUCUGACUUUGGUGUAUACCCCCUAUCCACAAGUUUCAAAACCAAAGAAACUGUCCCCUGCCACCUAUCCAUCCUUAUUUAUUGCAGGUAAAUUGUACCCACAUGUACAAUGUAAGUACAUUAAAUGGCGGACGAUAUAAGAAUGACCAGUUUUUAUCCAUAGUUUCGAAUUCCUCAAUUGUUUUUGUUUACCCUCAGUUUAACUAGUAAGUGAGUUAAUGGUAGUUUAUUCUGUGGGAGACAAUAUUGACCAGAUUGUAUUAUGUGUAGUAGUAUUUUAAUAGACCACGUGAAUCUGUUUUAUUGUAAGAGGUCAGUAGAUUGUUGUAUGGUGGAAACUUUGGGGAUAAAACAGUUUUUAUAAAGUUUGCUUUUUUGUGCCAGUUCUUUAUGAAUAGCGCGGUCUGUUUUUGUUGUACAAGAUUCAUAAAAUAUCUGUAAGUC